GACGAACGCUGGCGGCGUGCCUAAUACAUGCAAGUCGAGCGGAUUUGACAGAGCUUGCUCUGUUCAAGUUAGCGGCGGACGGGUGAGUAACACGUGGGCAACCUGCCCUGCAGAUUGGGAUAACUCCGGGAAACCGGGGCUAAUACCGGAUAAUAUUGAAAACCUCAUGGUUUUCUUUUAAAAGGCGGCUUCGGCUGUCACUGCAGGAUGGGCCCGCGGCGCAUUAGCUAGUUGGUGAGGUAACGGCUCACCAAGGCGACGAUGCGUAGCCGACCUGAGAGGGUGAUCGGCCACACUUGGACUGAGACACGGCCCAGACUCCUACGGGAGGCAGCAGUAGGGAAUCUUCCGCAAUGGACGAAAGUCUGACGGAGCAACGCCGCGUGAGUGAAGAAGGUUUUCGGAUCGUAAAACUCUGUUGUUAGGGAAGAACAAGUACCGGAGUAACUGCCGGUACCUUGACGGUACCUGACCAGAAAGCCACGGCUAACUACGUGCCAGCCGCCGCAGUAAGAC
rnacentral:rRNA from 1 species